rnacentral:miRNA from 1 species
UUUUGGAUCACUGUUAUUAAGU